GACGAACGCUGGCGGCGUGCUUAACACAUGCAAGUCGAACGGAAAGGCCCUGCUUUUGUGGGGUGCUCGAGUGGCGAACAGGUGAGUAACACGUGAGUAACCUGCCCUUGACUUUGGGAUAACUUCAGGAAACUGGGGCUAAUACCGGAUAGGAGCUCCUGCUGCAUGGUGGGGGUUGGAAAGUUUCGGCGGUUGGGGAUGGACUCGCGGCUUAUCAGCUUGUUGGUGGGGUAGUGGCUUACCAAGGCUUUGACGGGUAGCCGGCCUGAGAGGGUGACCGGCCACAUUGGGACUGAGGUACGGCCCAGACUCCUACGGGAGGCAGCAGUGGGGAAUAUUGCACAAUGGGCGGAAGCCUGAUGCAGCAACGCCGCGUGCGGGAUGACGGCCUUCGGGUUGUAAACCGCUUUCGCCUGUGACGAAGCGUGAGUGACGGUAAUGGGUAAAGAAGCACCGGCUAACUACGUG
rnacentral:rRNA from 1 species